rnacentral:rRNA from 1 species
AUUGAACGCUGGCGGCAGGCCUAACACAUGCAAGUCGAGCGAGCGGCGGACGGGUGAGUACUGUAUGGGGACUGCCCGAUAGAGGGGGAUAACUACUGGAAACGGUAGCUAAUACCGCAUACUAUCGGAUAACCCAUAUGGGAUGAGCUAGUAGGUGGGGUAAAGGCUCACCUAGGGGACGAUCUCUAGAUGGUCUGAGAGUCUGAUCAGCACAACGUGGACUGAGACACGUCCCAGACUCCUACGGAGGCAGCAGUGGCGAAUAUUGCAACAUGGGCGCAAGCCUGAUGCAGCCAUGCCGCGUGUAUGAAGAAGGCCUUAGGGUUGUAAAGUACUUUCAGCGGGGAGGCGUUACCCGCAGAAGAAGCACCGGCUAACUCCGUGCCAGCCGCCGCGGUAAUUC